CCAAUAGCGUAUAUUAAAGUUGUUGCAGUUAAAAAGCUCGUAGUUGAAUUUCGGGGUUAGUAGGUUGGUCAUGCCUCUGGUAUGUACUGGUCUCACUGAUUCCUCCUUCCUGAUGAACCGUAAUGCCAUUAAUUUGGUGUUGCGGGGAAUUUGGACUGUUACUUUGAAAAAAUUAGAGUGUUUAAAGCAGGCAUUUUGCUUGAAUACAUUAGCAUGGAAUAAUAAAAUAGGACGGCAUGAUUCUAUUUUGUUGGUUUCUAGGAUCACCGUAAUGAUUAAUAGGGAUAGUUGGGGGCAUUAGUAUUCAAUUGUCAGAGGUGAAAUUCUUGGAUUUAUUGAAGACUAACUACUGCGAAAGCAUUUGCCAAGGAUGUUUUCAUUAAUCAAGAACGAAAGUUAGGGGAUCGAAGACGAUCAGAUACCGUCGUAGUCUUAACCAUAAACUAUGCCGACUAGGAAUCAGACGAUGUUAAUUUUUUAAUGACUCGUUUGGCACCUUACG
rnacentral:rRNA from 1 species